AGUGUUCCUGGCACCUUUGUCAAAAUCAGUUGGCUAUAGAUACUUGGAUUAAUUCUUCCAGCUUUGUUCUUUUUACUCAAGAUUGCUUUGGCUUUUUCAGGUCUUUUGUGGUGUACUUUCAUAUCUCUACUUUCUCAAUAAUACCUCAAAAGCCAUUUUUUUCAUAUGAUGCCCACACCAAAGAAUAAACAAAGACAUAAAUACCUCAAGCACAUAAUACCUAAAAAAUUGAGCCUCUGUAAUCUCAAAGAGAAAGUAAGAACCUGAGGGUUCCAAGGGAAGAUGAAUGUGAGGAAAACAGUGAGUAGCCUAGAGUAUUGCUGAUGUGUUUGCCAAAUCAAU
rnacentral:lncRNA from 1 species